AGCAGCCGCGGUAAUUCCAGCUCCAAUAGCGUAUAUUAAAGUUGUUGCAGUUAAAAAGCUCGUAGUUGAAUUUCGGGGUUAGUAGGUUGGUCAUGCCUCCGGUAUGUACUGGUCUCACUGAUUCCUCCUUCCUGAUGAACCGUAAUGCCAUUAAUUUGGUGUUGCGGGGAAUUUGGACUGUUACUUUGAAAAAUUAGAGUGUUUAAAGCAAGCUAACGCUUGAAUACAUUAGCAUGGAAUAAUGAAAUAGGACGUUCGAUCCUAUUUUGUUGGUUUCUAGGAUUGACGUAAUGAUUAAUAGGGAUAGUUGGGGGCAUUAGUAUUCAAUUGUCAGAGGUGAAAUUCUUGGAUUUAUUGAAGACUGACUACUGCGAAAGCAUUUGCCAAGGAUGUUUUCAUUAAUCAAGAACGAAAGUUAGGGGAUCGAAGACGAUCAGAUACCGUCGUAGU
rnacentral:rRNA from 1 species